GUGAAAGAUUGUUUGUGUUGUAAAUAAAAUUGGAUUGAUGAAUAAAUUUUGCGACGGUAUCUUCUUUCGCAGAUUCUCUUAUUUUCUGCCCAUCAAAUAAUCCUAAAAUCUCAAAUAAGUCUCAGAUAUUUAAAACUUUUAACAAUCGAUAUUCAACGGAGUAAAUGAUGGAAUUUACUCUGAUGGACUUAGUUUUGGCUACUAUGGGAGUCCUGGUCACAAUGGCUCUUAUAUGCUGUUUGUGCUGUUUAUCAAUGAAAUUCAGUGACCUCAGAAUGAAGUGUUACAUCAUUGAAACAGCGAAGAAGCGUGGCAUCAAAGUGGAUCCGGACAAACUAGACCCCAAGCGCAACUGUCGCUCCCCCCUGGCCAACGAAAACUGUACCAUAAUGGUGCCAGAUGUUGGAAUAAUCCUUUAGCUCGUAAAGAAAUGGUAAUGUAAAAUUUCCGGUUUGAUCCUGUUAAAAGCCAUUGGCUACGAUUAUGGGUUAAUGGCACUAUAAAAAGUUUUGAAAGACAUUUAAAGAAUGAAACUUCAAAAACCAUCUUUCUCAGCUCUGCUUUUUUCGGUUGCACUCAACUGCAGUGCUUUGGGGCCCGGGGUUCGCCUUCUCUUUGUUUUCGGUGACGUCAAUAAAGACUCGAAAACAUGUUUUGUGGGAAAUGGUAGUAUAUAGUAAAAUAAUUUUAUGAGUACUUAUCUCAAAUGUUGACCAGUAUUUUUUCACUCUUGCUUGUAAUAUGAGUGUGGUCAAUAAUAUGGUUUUGUCCACCAGUGUGUGUUGCCAGCGACGUGAGCUUUAAACAUCCAAAAUGUGGUCAAUCUUAUAUCCCUGGUCCAAAAUUAAGAAAUGUAUGCACAAAUAGUUUUCUAGUAGCUUUGUAGUCAAAAUAUAUUUAAUAUGACCUCAACUUUAUUACCUUAAAUAAAAAAACUUUGUUGUUAUACCAUGUGAAAUGGGGUUAUUUCUAGUCAAAAGGUUUUUAGUGCAGUAGCCAUAGUAUAGACUAAUAAAAUGUAAUUUUUUUUAAUUUAUUUAUUUAUUACUUUUAAAAGUUACAGUUGGGACUUUUACUACACAAUACUUAAAUAGUAUUUUUCAAUUUUUAGUUCAGUACACUAGUACUAGGCCUUAGUAUCAAGUAACUGAUAAAAAACUAUAUACUCUCUUUACUCUUAUACCAUGUGAAAUGGCAUUAUUUUCUAAUCGAAAGCUUUUUGUAAAAAUAUGUAAUGUUUUUCCCAAAUUAUUAUUGUUAAGUGUGUAGUUUUAAGAAGUAUUACGACAAAGUUCCUAAGUAUUUAUAGAUUUUCAUAAAUUAAGAAUACUGUGGCAUAUUUUAUCUCUACAUUAUAACAUCUUAAUCAUCAUUGCUUUUAAAUAAUAUCUGUGAAUUUUGGUAGAAAAUUUGAUCCACUUGUCCCAUCUUUAUCCGUAUGGGUAUUUCUUAAAUUAUAUGUAAGUAAUAAAUAUACAUAUAUAAAAUAGAAAUUUUCGCAAUAAUAGCCUAUGUUCUCCCUCAUCUUCGUACAAAAUGUCAUCAAAAUCGGUUCAGUGACAGAUUUAUUUUCGCAUUUAAUACUAUUAGUAGCGAUAGUGGUAAUUCCAUUAUAAAGCUAUCUAUCGUAUAAACGUCGAAAGCUGCGUGAUUAUAUACAUGUGUAUUAUCAUGGUAAAAUUAAGAAAUGUAAAAAAGGCGGCCUUAGCAAAGCAAUUUGAUGAAAAUUAGAAUGCUGUUAUUGUUGACGAAAUAAAUGAUUUCAAUACAUUGAAAAAUUAUGUUAAAAUAUGCUUAAAGAAUUUUUGCAAGCAGCGUACAUUACAGAGUGAAAAAAGAUAACUAACUAUAUGGUUAUCGGCAGUGUAGAAUAGGGCACUAGUUGUAGAAGGCGACUGAGGGACAAAUCUGCAACAAUUCCUAUUCUACACUUCAGGAAACCGUAUACAUCAAAUUUAUUUACUUUUUAUACAACGUUAAAGUGCUAAUAAUAAAAGAGUAUAGUGGUGAUGAACAUAGUAAUCUGUGUUCUACGUUUAUCGGCGUUUAUGGGAGAAACUUCCGAUAGUUUUUUUUUUAAUUUAUAUGAACUUAUGGUUCCAACUUUUUAUAAAAGUGACAUCAGCAGAACGCUCAAUAUGUAUGGGAUGACAAAAUUUUUAUUGAAUUUUUCGCUCCAUAUUUCUUUUAUAAUUUAAUCAUAUUAAUGAACUUCAAUUUGAAAAUUUGAGCUUUUUAUUAAGCCAUCCCGUACAUCUGAAGUUGAGUAUCAACGUACAGUCAACCGCUUAUCAAGUUACCCUAUGACACGGCAAUAGAAGCGAAUUUGCUGUGAAUUUGGGCAGGUCAAUAUGCCUUUGACCGUACUAGACAGAAAUAUAAGCAAUCUCAUAGUAC
rnacentral:lncRNA from 1 species